UGACUGCCAUCUUUAAAAAGCUCAUUUUGUUCACUGGAGAUAAAUAUUGCCACUGCUUCUGCCUCUCCCCACCUCCUUUCCCUGCUAUUUUUCUGAGCUGUUUGCUUCAGAUAGGCUCGUCAUCUGUCUGAAUUGUGGCUAUGUAUUCCCCUCAUAGCAUGGUGAUUUCUGGCCAUGCAGAAGACAGUAGCUCUGGGAUUUGUUGUAGUUAGGCAUGUUUUAUAUUUCCUUAAUAUGACUAGUUGCCUGUGUCCUGAACUCUGUGUAUGUGUAUGGAGUAAGGCGGAAGAAGCAGGUUUGUCUUAUUUAGUGAGUUUUUCAUCAUGGGACUCCAGCAUAUAUUUACCCUUAAAGAAUGCUUGUUGAGGGUUGUAGCCUUUCAAUGCUGUCUUGAAGCUGGGUAGUUACAAUUUAAUGCUAACUACGACCAAUAAUCAUAAAAUUAAAAAACAAAGAAAUUACGAUUAUAACAUUCUGUUCUCCAGGCACUAAGUUGGCUACAAAGGCAUUCAUUAUCAUUAUGGAUAUUAGUGUUAAGUGGGCGCAUUCAUAUUUUAUUUUGUAUUAUCACAGUUGAAUGAUCAUAAACACUAGCAGGAAGAGAACUGAGAAUGUAAGGCAUCUUUUAUUCAUUACUCUUUUGCCUGUAUGUCCACUUAUGUGAUGUGCACAUGGGUCAAAUCAGUCAUUUCAGCCAGCUCCGUGAUCCGUUUGGAUCUCUCCAUGAUCAAUCUGGCCCAGACAGUUGGUAGCAGAGAGGGGGACAAAGGAAAUAAAGGAUCCACAGUAGCUUGUUCAAAUGCCUGCUGGAGAGACAUCACUUCUGUCUGCCUUACAAGCUUUGUUUCAGAGUGUCACAUAACAGAACUGACACUGUGUGUGUGUGUUUGUGUGUUAACUACAUAUGUCUGUGACAGUGAACAGCAUAAAGUCAAAAAGAUUACACAAAUGAGUGUCACAUAACAGAACUGACACUGUGUGUGUGUUUGUGUGUUAACUACAUAUGUCUGUGACAGUGAACAGCAUAAACUCAAAGAGAUUACACAAAUGUUUAGAGCAGGUACAAGAGCAAAAGAAACAAGUGAAAAGGGAAUCAUUUCUUUUCUCAUUAACCCUUCAUUGGUCUGGGUUGUUGAGAUGCCAAUCUUCCAAAAAUGUAAGUCCUUCUUGAAAUGAUUAUGCUGAUCAUCCAUUCACUCAGCGCACAUUUACUAAGUGCCUCUAUGUGUCAGACAUUUGUAUUAGCAGCUGUGAACAGAGCAGUCAAUAACACAGACAUAGUCCCUCUUCUCAUGGAGCUUCCUAUAUACUGAAAGAGAUAAGUAAUGCACAGACAAAUAAACAAUGGAAUAAUGGCAGAGUCUUGGGAAAUAAACGGAUGAUGUGUUAGAAGGGGUGGUUAGGGAAGUUUGUAUGGGAAGUUGACUUUUAAGCUGAGACAGGAGAGAUGAGAAAGAUCUAUACUUGCAAGGGGAAGAGAGCCAUGUGGGCAGAGAGGAUCACAUGUGGGAAAACCUUCAAUUACAGAUAUCAUAAUCAGAUUGUCUCCUAAGAUCUAUGUGAUUGAAGGAAUGUGUGUUUUCAAUGAUGAGUAAAAGUCAAAGAACACAG
rnacentral:lncRNA from 1 species